rnacentral:rRNA from 1 species
GGGUUGUGAGGUUAAGCGACUAAGCGUACACGGUGGAUGCCCUGGCAGUCAGAGGCGAUGAAGGACGUGCUAAUCUGCGAUAAGCGUCGGUAAGGUGAUAUGAACCGUUAUAACCGGCGAUUUCCGAAUGGGGAAACCCAGUGUGAUUCGUCACACUAUCAUUAACUGAAUCCAUAGGUUAAUGAGGCGAACCGGGGGAACUGAAACAUCUAAGUACCCCGAGGAAAAGAAAUCAACCGAGAUUCCCCCAGUAGCGGCGAGCGAACGGGGAGGAGCCCAGAGCCUGAAUCAGUGUGUGUGUUAGUGGAAGCGUCUGGAAAGGCGCGCGAUACAGGGUGACAGCCCCGUACACAAAAAUGCACAUGCUGUGAGCUCGAUGAGUAGGGCGGGACACGUGGUAUCCUGUCUGAAUAUGGGGGGACCAUCCUCCAAGGCUAAAUACUCCUGACUGACCGAUAGUGAACCAGUACCGUGAGGGAAAGGCGAAAAGAACCCCGGCGAGGGGAGUGAAAAAGAACCUGAAACCGUGUACGUACAAGCAGUGGGAGCACAGAGCAAUCUG